rnacentral:lncRNA from 1 species
CAAGGUCAUCUGCUGCAUUUUGGGCCAUUGCCAGUCAUCUUGACUUUUUCCUGACACUAGACUUCAAUGACUCUUGAAGAGAGGGUGAGGCUGAUGAUUUUGUGCAACUCUUCCUUAAGUCCAAUUCACAAGCAAAUCAAGAAAUCACUCUUUAAUGUCACUGGUCCUCUUCAAAACAGAAGACAAACAACAUGACUGCUCUGUGGGCUCUAGCCAUUCAACUAAUUUUGAAUACUUCUGCCUGUACCAUUAUCUGAUCAAACCAUUAUAAAACUAUCUGUUAGGGAUUUAAAAAGACCCUUUAAAAAGAUAUUUUAAAAAGCACUGUAUUCCAUGUACCAUUGAAUAUUUGUCAAUAUAAGAAGGAUGGACUCUAUAAAUACCCCAAGAAUAUUGCUCAGGUGUUGUUGAAAAGAACUUAUUCAUGAGACUGAAAUGCUUAUGUCAUGUUGAAGCUAAGUUUUGGAGUCAUUGCAUGCUUGCAAAAGGUAUCCUUCCGGAACCCCAAGGGUAUCCUUUCCAUGCCCAUAACAAGAUGAGGUCCUUAUUGAUUUCUCUUAACUACUGAUGCCACUAACCCCAACCAAAGAAGUCUUGUGUCUCCUCCAAGAUAAGCUAC